CCUACGGGAGGCUGCAGUGGGGAAUAUUGGACAAUGGGGGGAACCCUGAUCCAGCCAUGCCGCGUGUGUGAAGAAGGCCCUCGGGUUGUAAAGCACUUUCAGUGAGGAAGAACGCCUGGUGGUUAAUACCCAUCAGGAAAGACAUCACUCACAGAAGAAGCACCGGCUAACUCCGUGCCAGCAGCCGCGGUAAUACGGAGGGUGCGAGCGUUAAUCGGAAUUACUGGGCGUAAAGCGCGCGUAGGUGGCUUGAUAAGCCGGUUGUGAAAGCCCCGGGCUCAACCUGGGAACGGCAUCCGGAACUGGCAAGCUAGAGUGCAGGAGAGGAAGGUAGAAUUCCCGGUGUAGCGGUGAAAUGCGUAGAGAUCGGGAGGAAUACCAGUGGCGAAGGCGGCCUUCUGGACUGACACUGACACUGAGGUGCGAAAGCGUGGGUAGCAAACAGGAUUAGAUACCCGUGUAGUC
rnacentral:rRNA from 1 species